AGUGAACGCUGGCGGCAGGCCUAACACAUGCAAGUCGAGCGGCAGCGGGUUCCCGCGAGGGGAUGCCGGCGAGCGGCGGACGGGUGAGGAACACAUCGGAAUCUGCCUGGUUGUGGGGGAUAACGUAGGGAAACUUACGCUAAUACCGCAUGAGACCCUGAGUCGACGGACUGGGGGUGAAAGUGAGGGACCUUCGGGCCUCACGCGACCAGAUGAGCCGAUGUCGGAUUAGCUAGUUGGCGGGGUAACGGCCCGCCAAGGCGACGAUCCGUAGCUGGUCUGAGAGGAUGAUCAGCCACACUGGGACUGAGACACGGCCCAGACUCCUACGGGAGGCAGCAGUGGGGAAUCUUGGACAAUGGGCGCAAGCCUGAUCCAGCCA
rnacentral:rRNA from 1 species